UUCCCAGCUGUUGCUGGACUACAACUCCCAUCAUCCCUGACCACUGGUCCUGCUAGCUAGGGAUGAUGGGAGUUGCAGUCCAACAACAGCUGGGGA